rnacentral:rRNA from 1 species
AUGGGCGUGGAGGAUGUGUGUGGGCAUGGCAAACCUGAGAAGUGGUUAUUUUCCUGUGAGAACAGCCUAUCACUUGCUAGUUCAGAAAUGGUGCCCAGAGCAAUCCUCCGAAAUAGGCAUAUUGAAAGAAUUGGUUUUUGUGGACGUGGGGAAACCAUAUAUCAUGCCCUGUUUGAAUGUACAUGGGCAAAAUUAUUUUGGAAGGAAAUCAGAUAUGUUGCUGCAUUCAAGAAAUCAUGGAGGAAGGAGCGGACAGUAGUGCACUCUGUCAAAUGGUUGUUGGAUGUGGCUUGGGAUUUAUCAUUAACGGAAGAGAAAGAAACGAUGUUAAGCACCAUUGGAAGCCACCCGAUGCAAGGCCAGGCUGUCCACCCAUUUCACUCCCUAAUGUUUGCUGAUGAUCUUCUUCUCUGUGGUAAGGCUACUGCUACCGAAGCCAUUCACAUGUACAAUAUAUUGCAGAGUUAUUUUCAGCUUUCAGGCCAGACCCCCAAUUGGAGCAAAUCAGAACUUACAGCUAUCAUAAGGAACUUCUGGUGGACAAGAAUUAAUGAAGAGCCUACAACUAAAACUCUCUAUCUCUGGGCAUGGAAGGACAUAUGCAUACCAAAAUGUGAGGAUGGCUUAGGAAUCAGAAACAUUCAAGCAAUGAACAGGGGUCUCAUUCUAUCAGGAGCUUGGAGAAUUGCAGAUAUGAUCCAGAAAGUUUCCUUUCUAAAGUCCUAA